rnacentral:rRNA from 1 species
CGAAGUCUGGUGCCUAGCAGCCGCGGUAAUCCAGCUCCAAUAGCGUAUAUUAAAGUUGUUGCAGUUAAAAAGCUCGUAGUUGAAUUUCGGGGUUAGUAGGUUGGUCGUGCCACUGGUACGUACUGGUCUCACUGACUCCUCCUUCCUGAUGAACUGUAAUGCCAUUAAUUUGGUGUUGCGGGAAACUGGACUGUUACUUUGAAAAAAUUAGAAUGUUUAAAGCAAGCUAACGCUUGAAUACAUUAGCAUGGAAUAAUGAAAUAGGACGUUCGAUCCUAUUUUAGUUGGUUUCUAGGGAUUGACGUAAUGAUUAAUAGGGAUAUUGGGGGCAUUAGUAUUCAAUUGUCAGAGGUGAAAUUCUUGGAUUUAUUGAAGACUAACUACUGCGAAAGCAUUUGCCAAGGAUGUUUUCAUUAAUCAAGAACGAAAGUUAGGGGAUCGAAGACGAUCAGAUACCGUCGUAGUCUUAACCAUAAACUAUGCCGACUAGGGAUCGGAUGAUGUUAAUUUUUUUAAUGACUCAUUCGGCGCCUUACG